CCUACGGGGGGCAGCAGUGAGGAAUAUUGGUCAAUGGACGAGAGUCUGAACCAGCCAAGUAGCGUGAGGGAUGACUGCCCUAUGGGUUGUAAACUUCUUUUAUAUGGGAAUAAAAUGUUCCACGUGUGGGCUUUUGUAUGUACCAUAUGAAUAAGGAUCGGCUAACUCCGUGCCAGCAGCCGCGGUAAUACGGAGGGGGCAAGCGUUGUUCGGAAUUACUGGGCGUAAAGGGAGUGUAGGCGGUUUAGUAAGAUAGUGGUCAAAUCCCCGGGCGUAACUUGGGAAGUGCCAUUAUAACUAGUAGACUAGAAUUGCAGAGAGGAUAGCGGAAUACCCAGUGUAGAGGUGAAAUGCGUAGAUAUUGGGUAGAACACCAGUGGCGAAGGCGACUAUCUGGCUGUACAUUGACGCUGAGGCUCGAAAGCAUGGGGAUCAAACAGGAUUAGAUACCCGUGUAGUC
rnacentral:rRNA from 1 species